UCCCAAGAGAAGAGAAAUUAUCUGAUAGGU
rnacentral:piRNA from 1 species